UAGAUAGUAAGUAGUAUGGUGAUUUAUAAGGAAUUAUUAAGAUGAUGAAGAUUUGGAAACAGGUAAUUGUAGUGGUGAUGCUGCUGCUGCUUUUCUCGCUUCUUCUCCUUGUGGCCGGCGCAAGAGACUUCCCUAAAUUAGAGCAUGAUCAUGAUGAAGAUGUGAUGGGACGUGGUCGAGAGCUGAGAAGUGAUUUUCCAUGGCCAGGGGGUCACGGUUAUAUUCAUGAUUAAUAAUAUAUAUAUAUAUAUAUAUAUUUACCAUGUAUGUUUUUUAAUAUUAUUAUUUCAUAUCAUGUACUAGACCCAUCACCCACGACCGACCGACACCUGAUCUAUCCGUUCAAAUAUACAUUCAAAAGAUGUAUGCUUUCGUAUUUCUAUUGCAUUCUAUUCUAAUAUAUAUAUAUAUAUUAAUUGGAUCUUGUCUUCAAAGUC